AAUGAACGUUGGCGGCGUGGAUUAGGCAUGCAAGUCGAGCGAGAACCCCGCAAGGGGGGACAGCGGCAAACGGGGUAGUAAUGUGUCGGAACGUGCCCAGAGGACGGGGAUAGCGGCGGGAAACUGCCGGUAAUACCCGAUGAUCUCGAGAGAGCAAAGGUGUGAUUCCGCCUUUGGAGCGGCCGACAUGGUAUUAGCUAGUUGGCGGGGUAACGGCCCACCAAGGCUGUGAUGCCUAGGGGAUGUGAGAGCAUGAUCCCCACCAUUGGGACUGAGACACUGCCCAGACACCUACGGGUGGCUGCAGUCGAGAAUCUUCGUCAAUGGGCGAAAGCCUGAACGAGCGACGCCGCGUGCGGGAUGAAGGCCCUUGGGUUGUAAACCGCUGUCGAGGGGGAUGAAGGCUUGAAGGUACUCCUUCAAGUUUGACAGAGCCCUGGAGGAAGCACGGGCUAAGUUCGUGCCAGCAGCCGCGGUAAU
rnacentral:rRNA from 1 species